rnacentral:rRNA from 1 species
CCCGCUGAACUUAAGCAUAUCAUUAGGCGGAGGAAAAGAAACUAACAAGGAUUGCCCUAGUAACUGCGAGUGAAGCGGGAAGAGCUCAAAUUUGAAAUCUGGCGUGCCUCUGGUCGUACGAAUUGUAGUCUGGAGAAGCGUUUUCCGUGUUGGACCGUGUAUAAGUCUCUUGGAACAGGGCGUCAUAGAGGGUGAGAAUCCCGUCUUUGACACGGACUACCAAUGCUUUGUGAUGCGCUCUCAAAGAGUCGAGUUGUUUGGGAAUGCAGCUCAAAAUGGGUGGUAAAUUCCAUCUAAAGCUAAAUAUAGGCGAGAGACCGAUAGCGAACAAGUACCGUGAGGGAAAGAUGAAAAGCACUUUGGAAAGAGAGUUAAACAGUACGUGAAAUUGCUGAAAGGGAAACGCUUGAAGUCAGUCAUGUCUGCCAGGACUCAGCCUUGCUUCUGCUUGGUGUACUUUCUGGUCGGAUGGGCCAACAUCAAUUUUGACCGUUGGAGAAAGGCUUUGGGAACGUGGCACCUUCGGGUGUGUUAUAGCCCUUUGUUGUAUACAACGGUUGGGAUUGAGGACUGCAGCACGCCUUUAUGGCCGGGGUUAGACCACGUACGUGCUUAGGAUGUUGGCAUAAUGGCUUUAAGCGACCCGUCUUGAAACACGG